rnacentral:rRNA from 1 species
AGAGUUUGAUCAUGGCUCAGACCUGAUGCUUUGCGAUAAGCCCGCGGCCUAUCAGCUAGUUGGCGAGGUAAAGGCUCACCAAGGCUAAGACGGGUAACUGGUCUGAGAGGACGACCAGUCACACUGGAACUGAGACACGGUCCAGACACCUACGGGUGGCAGCAGUCGAGAAUUUUUCACAAUGGGGGAAACCCUGAUGGAGCGACGCCGCGUGGGGGAUGAAUGGCUUCGGCCCGUAAACCCCUGUCAUUUGUGAACAAGAUGUUUUCAGAAACACUGGGAACGUUGAUAGUAGCAGAAGAGGAAGGGACGGCUAACUCUGUG